UAGGGAAUCUUCCACAAUGGACGCAAGUCUGAUGGAGCAACGCCGCGUGAGUGAAGAAGGCUUUCGGGUCGUAAAACUCUGUUGUUGGAGAAGAAUGGUCGGCAGAGUAACUGUUGUCGGCGUGACGGUAUCCAACCAGAAAGCCACGGCUAACUACGUGCCAGCAGCCGCGGUAAUACGUAGGUGGCAAGCGUUAUCCGGAUUUAUUGGGCGUAAAGCGAGCGCAGGCGGUUUUUUAAGUCUGAUGUGAAAGCCCUCGGCUUAACCGAGGAAGCGCAUCGGAAACUGGGAAACUUGAGUGCAGAAGAGGACAGUGGAACUCCAUGUGUAGCGGUGAAAUGCGUAGAUAUAUGGAAGAACACCAGUGGCGAAGGCGGCUGUCUGGUCUGUAACUGACGCUGAGGCUCGAAAGCAUGGGUAGCGAACAGGAUUAGAUACCCUGGUAGUCCAUGCCGUAAACGAUGAAUGCUAGGUGUUGGAGGGUUUCCGCCCUUCAGUGCCGCAGCUAACGCAUUAAGCACUCCGCCUGGGGAGUACGACCGCAAGGUUG
rnacentral:rRNA from 1 species